rnacentral:rRNA from 1 species
UUGAACGCUGGCGGCAGGCCUAACACAUGCAAGUCGAGCGGUAACACAGAGAGCUUGCUCUCGGGUGACGAGCGGCGGACGGGUGAGUAAUGUCUGGGAAACUGCCUGAUGGAGGGGGAUAACUACUGGAAACGGUAGCUAAUACCGCAUAACGUCGCAAGACCAAAGUGGGGGACCUUCGGGCCUCAUGCCAUCAGAUGUGCCCAGAUGGGAUUAGCUAGUAGGUGGGGUAACGGCUCACCUAGGCGACGAUCCCUAGCUGGUCUGAGAGGAUGACCAGCCACACUGGAACUGAGACACGGUCCAGACUCCUACGGGAGGCAGCAGUGGGGAAUAUUGCACAAUGGGCGCAAGCCUGAUGCAGCCAUGCCGCGUGUGUGAAGAAGGCCUUCGGGUUGUAAAGCACUUUCAGCGGGGAGGAAGGCGGUGAGGUUAAUAACCUCACCGAUUGACGUUACCCGCAGAAGAAGCACCGGCUAACUCCGUGCCAGCAGCCGCGGUAAUAUGGAGGGUGCAAGCGUUAAUCGGAAUUACUGGGCGUAAAGCGCACGCAGGCGGUCUGUCAAGUCGGAUGUGAAAUCCCCGGGCUCAACCUGGGAACUGCAUUCGAAACUGGCAGGCUAGAGUCUUGUAGAGGGGGGUAGAAUUCCAGGUGUAGCGGUGAAAUGCGUAGAGAUCUGGAGGAAUACCGGUGGCGAAGGCGGCCCCCUGGACAAAGACUGACGCUCAGGUGCGAAAGCGUGGGGAGCAAACAGGAUUAGAUACCCUGGUAGUCCACGCCGUAAACGAUGUCGAUUUGGAGGUUGUGCCCUUGAGGCGUGGCUUCCGGAGCUAACGCGUUAAAUCGACCGCCUGGGGAGUACGGCCGCAAGGUUAAAACUCAAAUGAAUUGACGGGGGCCCGCACAAGCGGUGGAGCAUGUGGUUUAAUUCGAUGCAACGCGAAGAACCUUACCUGGUCUUGACAUCCACAGAACUUUCCAGAGAUGGAUUGGUGCCUUCGGGAACUGUGAGACAGGUGCUGCAUGGCUGUCGUCAGCUCGUGUUGUGAAAUGUUGGGUUAAGUCCCGCAACGAGCGCAACCCUUAUCCUUUGUUGCCAGCGGUUAGGCCGGGAACUCAAAGGAGACUGCCAGUGAUAAACUGGAGGAAGGUGGGGAUGACGUCAAGUCAUCAUGGCCCUUACGACCAGGGCUACACACGUGCUACAAUGGCAUAUACAAAGAGAAGCGACCUCGCGAGAGCAAGCGGACCUCAUAAAGUAUGUCGUAGUCCGGAUUGGAGUCUGCAACUCGACUCCAUGAAGUCGGAAUCGCUAGUAAUCGUAGAUCAGAAUGCUACGGUGAAUACGUUCCCGGGCCUUGUACACACCGCCCGUCACACCAUGGGAGUGGGUUGCAAAAGAAGUAGGUAGCUUAACCUUCGGGAGGGCGCUUACCACUUUGUGAUUCAUGACUGGGGUG